rnacentral:rRNA from 1 species
UGAGUAACCUGCCCUUAACUCUGGGAUAAGCCUGGGAAACUGGGUCUAAUACCGGAUAUGACUCCUCAUCGCAUGGGUGGGGGGUGGAAAGCUUUAUUGUGGUUUUGGAUGGACUUGCGGCCUAUCAGCUUGUUGGUGAGGUAAUGGCUCACCAAGGCGACGACGGGUAGCCGGCCUGAGAGGGUGACUGGCCACACUGGGACUGAGACACGGCCCAGACUCCUACGGGAGGCAG